GCCGGGUGUGGUGGCUCACACCUGUAAUCCAAGCACUUUGGAGGCCAAGGCAGGUGGAUCACCUGAGGUCGGGAGUUCAAGACCAGCCUGACCAACAUGGCGAAACCCUGUCUUAA
rnacentral:sRNA from 13 species